AUGGUUGCCAAGCCUGGUUGUCAUGGCAACACGGUGGCUGCUGCUCCUGCAGCUGGUGAGGGGCACCUGAGUGCAUGCAGGUUGGUGAGAUCUGCCCUCCCCGGGCCAGGGGCCAAGACCGUCGCAUUCGUCUGUUCCCAGCUCCUGGCCUGCGAGGCCGGCACCCGGGCUGUGGCCCUGAGCUCAGGCAGGUUAUCCCCAGGUCCUGGUCACAUGUGUUUGAACACUUCUGACAAGCCAGGUGUGAGCCUAUUAAGACAUUGUGAAGUGCUCAGAGAUACAGUAGUGCUGUACACACGCCAGUUCUUCUUCUUCCUGAAACAAAGGGAAGACGCUGUGGCUCUGGUGCCCUGUGAUACGUGCCAUCUAAGACUUAUCAUAAUAAGAUGGUUUGGAUCCUUGUUUCUGGAAAGAUGGCACCACCUGUGUCUGAGGGUGAUGGUGACAGUUUAUAAGCACUUGUCAAAUUAUAACAUAUGAAUGAAACUCAAGUCAUGAAUGAAAUUCUUUUGUGGGGAUUUAUAACUGUUGAUUAAACCAUCCAGACUUUAUUCACAAUUGGUUGAGAUUUCAUAUCCUCUUUCCAUGUGUAACGAAUGAACUGCAUUCAGCCAACAAAUAUUUAUUCAAUGUCUUCUGUAUCAGGCGCAGGACUAUGUGCUGAACACGCUUUACUUGGUAAGACAGAAAAACAAUUAUUGAGGCAGAAGGAAAUGCCUGUAAACAAAAGCUGAAGGUGUUCUGGUUAUCUGAAAGUGGUUAUUGAAACGAAAAUGUGUAAUAGUGUCUGUCUUCCAGAUUCAUAGGUACAUCUGGCUUAAUUCUCUCUAAAUUCAUGGGUCCACCUCUAACAUUUGCAGAGUACAGGGUGGGGGUACAAAUAAGCCUAUAAAUGGUUAAAUCAUGUCUUCUCUUUCUUCUAUCUUUAAAAAAUAUAUACAUUCAUAAAGACAAAAUUUAAAACUGUCCAGAGCUAUGUUUCCAUGACCAAAAGUUGGCAGUACUAGAGGUGACUGAAUUAAUUAUUAUUGCACGUUUAAAUGUUCAUCUGUUUCAUUUGAAUGACAAACAAAAUAAAG
rnacentral:lncRNA from 1 species